AGAGACUUAGGGAUAAACCAGGGCACCGGGCUCCUUUGCAAAAUGCUAAAGUCUUAAACAGAGGGUAGGGCCAAAGAGGGCAUUUCAGGCAUCAGGAGGUGCACACCUUUCUGAAGGGCUGCAAACGUACAUCUACACCAUCUACACUGAGCAGAGGAGGGCUGUGGACGAUGUCCUGACCUCCAAUUUGAUUAGUGUAACAUAGACAGCAGGCGUCCCCUUAGCCACACGGGAUAGUUCCAAGACUCCUCCCAGUGGAUGCCUGAAACCUUGGACAUAGGUCAUGUAAAUUACCUACACACACAUACCUAUGAUAAAGGUAAUUUAGUGUAUAAAUUAGGCAAGUAAGAUAUUGACAACAAUAAAUAAUAAGAUGGAAACAAUUAUGACAAUAUAUUGUAAUAAAAGCUAUGGAACAUGGCCUCCCUCUCUGAUAACUGACUGAUCAUUGAGAGGGCCACUGAGUGACUAAAAGGGAGGUCACAGGGUGGAUGCUCAGGACAGGAAUGACCCCCAUCCCGGGAAGGAACUGGAUGGCACAAGAUUCUCUCACACUCCUCAGAACAGCGUGCAAUUUAAAGCUUGUGAGCUGUUGAUUUCUGGAAUUUUCCAUUUAAUAUUUUCAGACCACAGUUGACCCUGGGUAACUGAAACCUUGGAAAGCAAGACACUGGGGAGAGGGGGGGACUACUGCAUUAUGCAAAGCUCACUAAGGGCCAAGUACGGAAUUCUCUCCAUUUCCCCAACUCGUUGGGACUUGCCUCCCAAAUCCUUUUACUUGAAGUGACCUUGGACCAGCCACAUCCCAUCCCAGGACCUCGGUGCCCCCAUCUGCACAACAAGAAUUACAAGUUCCCCAUCUGCCAAGACACAUCAAACCUAAUCGAAAAGGAUGCGAUUACUAGUUCGGUGAGAGUAUUCAGUAACCGGCAAGUGCCAGGAAAAAUGACUGAUAACACUUAUUUCUCCACCUCCAAGUCAAAACCUCCCGGUCGCUGCAAGCUUUUCUGAGCGGUUCCGGGAAAGGCGUGGUCAGCCACUGGGAGCCACGCCCCCGAGCAGCAGGGCGGCCUUCGCCGCGCCCAACUCUGCGGCCCAAGGUCGCCGUAGGAAGUAGUUCCGGCUCAAGCUAGGCCGAUGGGUCCCUCCGCAGCAGGCAAAAUAAGAUGGCGACCUCGUCGAUGCCGGAGUCGGAGAGAAACGCGGCCACGGAAGCGUCAGAGUGAAGGCCCCGGCCCCUGCACACCCUGGUCG